UGGGGAAUAUUGCGCAAUGGGGGGAACCCUGACGCAGCAACGCCGCGUGAAGGAUGAAGGUUUUCGGAUCGUAAACUUCUUUGAUGAGGGACGAAACAAAUGACGGUACCUCAAAAACAAGCCACGGCUAACUACGUGCCAGCAGCCGCGGUAAUACGUAGGUGGCGAGCGUUGUCCGGAAUUACUGGGUGUAAAGGGCGCGUAGGCGGGGAUGCAAGUCAGAUGUGAAAUACCGAGGCUUAACUUCGGGGCUGCAUCUGAAACUGUAUUUCUUGAGUGUCGGAGAGGAAAGUGGAAUUCCUAGUGUAGCGGUGAAAUGCGUAGAGAUUAGGAGGAACACCAGUGGCGAAGGCGACUUUCUGGACGAUAACUGACGCUGAGGCGCGAAAGCGUGGGGAGCAAACAGG
rnacentral:rRNA from 1 species